rnacentral:tRNA from 1 species
UCCCUGGUGGCUCAGAUGGUAAAGAAUCUGCCUGCAAUGCAGGAGACCCAGAUUCAAUCCCUGGAUGGGGAA